rnacentral:lncRNA from 1 species
GAUCUAUGGGUUAUCUGUGGGGCUGGGGAGAGGAAUCUAUGGGUUACUGGUCAUCUAUCGGCCUGGGGGUCCUAUUGGGGUUCGGGGCUGAGUGAUCUAUGGGGUUAUCUGUGGGGCUGGGGGAGGAUCUAUGGGGUUAUCUGUGGGGCUGGGGGAGGAUCUAUGGGGUUAUCUGUGGGGCUGGGGAGAGAUUACUGGUUUAUCUGCUGGGGCUGGGGGAGGAUCUUAGGGUUAUCUGUGGGCUGGGGGAGACUACGGGUUUAUCGUGGGGCUCGGGGAGGUCUACUGUGGGUACCUUUGUGGAGGAUCUAUGGGGAUUCUGGGGUGAUCUUAUGGGUUAUCUGUGGGGCUGGGGAGGAUCUAAUGGGGGUAUCUUGGGCUGGGGGAGGUAUCUAUUUGCUCUAUGGGGUUAUCUAUGGGGCUGGGGGAGGAUGGGGUUAUGGCCAUCUAUGGGGCUGGGAGAGGAUGGGGUUAUGGAAUCUGUGGGGCUGAGGGAGGAUCUAUGGGGUUAUGGCCAUCUAUGGGGCUGGGGGAGGAUCUAUGGGGUUAUGGCCAUCUAUGGACCCAUGUGCCCCCCAUGACCACAUACAGCCCCAUCCAUGGGCUGCAAAGACCCCCAUCCCCACCCUGAGGGGUCUCUGUGCCCACCAGGACAACCCCAUAUACACACAGCCCCAUGUAUGGGCCGCAAAGACCCCCAUCCCCAUCCUUAGGGGUCUCUGUGCCCCAUAACCACACACAGCCCCAUCUAUGGGCCACAAAGACCCCCAUCCCCAUCCUGAGGGGUCUCUGUGCCCCAUAAGCACACACAGCCCCAUCCAUGGGCUGCAAAGACCCCCCCAUCCCCACCCUGAGGGGUCUCUGUGCCCACCAGGACAACCCCAUACACACACAGCCCCCACUAUAACCCACCAAUACAACCCCACGACCUCCUCCAUCCAUCACCCUCCCCCAUAACCCCCCAAAUACCCCCCAAAAUCCCCCAUAAUGACCCCAAAACCCCCCAUAACCCCCCCAUAGGACCCCAUAGGACCCCACAGGAUCCCAUAUUACCCCAAACUGACCCAAAAUCCCCAUAUUUCAGCCCAAAAUCACCUAUGAUCCUCUCCCCCUUGGUCAGGUUGAGCUCCCCAAAACCCCCCAUAAUGACCCCAAAAUCCCCCCCAAAAUUGCCCCAAAUGACCCCAGAUCCCCCCAUAACCCCCUCAUAUGACCCCAUAGGACCCCAUAGGAUCCCAUAGAACCCCAAACUGACCCAAAAUCCCCAUAUUUCAGCCCAAAAUCACCUUUGAUCCUCUCCCCCUUGGUCAGGCUGAGCUCCCCCAAACCGCCCCUUAAACCCCUCCAAAACGACCCCAAAUCACCCCAAAUCACCCCAAAACCCCCCCAGGCCCCCUCAUAGGACCCCAUAUUACCCCAUAAUGACCCAAAAUGACCCAAAAUCACCGUAUUUCAGCCCAAAAUCACCUUUGAUCCUCUCCCCCUUGGUCAGGCUGAGCUCUCCGUCCCCCUGUGCCUGGUACGGUCUGACCGCCAGGAACGAGCGACCCGGAACCGCCGAGUACAACUUGCGCUUCACCC